rnacentral:rRNA from 1 species
GGUAACAGGCGAGACCCGUAUGUAUAUUUACUACGUGUACAAUAUACAGACUGCCUUGGUAACAAGGAGGAAGGUGCGGGCUACGUUAGGUGAGUACGUCCCGAAUGUCCUGGGCUACACGCGCGCGGCAAUGCUGCAUUCAGAGGGUUGCGACACCGAAAGGUGAAGCUAAUCUCAUAAACUGCAGCCUAGUUCAGAUCGAGGGUUGCAACUCACCCUCGUGACGCUGGAAUUCGUAGUAAUCGUGUGUUAUCAGCAGACGGUGAAUAUGUCAAUGCUCCUUGCACUCACCGCCCGUCAAACCAACCGAGUUUAGCUUUGGUGAGACCCGUCAGGGACGAGCCUUGGUUAGACAAGGUAGGUUAAGUCGUCACAAGGUAUCCGUAGGGGAACCUGCGGAUGGAUCACCUCCU